AUCAACCGCUGGCGCGCGUGCCUCACACAUGCAAGUCGACCGCGAAAGGGCCUUCGGCUCGGAGUAGAGUGGCGCACGGAUGAGUAACACGUAGGGUGACUCUACCUUUGGAUGGGGGAUAAGUCACGAAAAGCGGAUGCUAAUACCGCAUAACAUCCUGUCACCUAAUUGAUGACAGAUUGAUUCAAAGCUGGGGGAUCGCUAAGACCUCGGCGUCUGAAGAGGAGGCCCUGCGGCCGAUUAGCUAGUUGGUGAGGGUAACGGCUUCACCAAGGCGACGAUCCGGUAGCCGGGCCUGAGAGGGCGGAUCGGGCCACACUGGACACUGAGAGACGGUCCAGACUCCCUACGGAGGCAGCAGUCGGGAAUUUUGGGCAAUGGGCGAAAGCCUGACCCAGCAACGCCGCGUGAAGGAUGAAAUCCCUCGGGAUGUAAACUUCGCAAGAACGGGAGAAUAAGCUUUAGUGAAUAUCUGAAGCGAUGACGGUACCGUUUGUAAGCUCCGGCUAACUCCGUGCCAGCAGCCGCGGUAAUACGGGGGGGAGCAAGCGUUGUUCGGAUUUACUGGGCGUAAAGGGCGCGUAGGCGGCCAGCGCAAGUCAGUUGUGAAUCUCCGGGCUUAACUCGGAAAGGUCAACUGAUACUGCGCGGCUAGAUGUGCGGAAGGGGCAACUGGAAUUCUUGAUGUAGCGGUGAAAUGCGUAGAUAUCAAGAGGAAACACCUGCGGCGAAGGCGGGUUGCUGGGCCGACACUGACGCUGAUGCGCGAAAGCCAGGGGAGCGAACGGGAUAGAUUACCCCGGUAGUCCUGGCCUUAAACGAUGAAUGCUUGGUGUCUGGGGGUUAUAUAGUCCCCGGGUGCCGUCGCUAACGCUUUAAGCAUUCCGCCUGGGGAGAUACGGUCGCAAGACUGAAACUCAAGGAAUUGACGGGGACCCGCACAAGCGGUGGAGCAUUGUGGUUUAAAUUCGAACGCAACGCGAAGAACCUUACCUGGGCUAGAAUGCCUCUGACAGCCUCAGAGAUGGGGUCUCCUGGGUAAAACCAGGGCAGAGUGCAAGGCAGUGGCUGCGUGGCUGUCGUCAGCUCGUGUCGUGAGAUGUUGGGUUAAGUCCCGCAACGAGCGCAACACCCUUAUCUUUAGUUGCCGCAUUUAGUUGGGCACUCUAGAGAGACUGCCGUUGACAAAACGGAGGAAGGUGGGGAUGACGUCAAGUCCUCAUGGCCUUUAUGUCCAGGGCUACACACGUGCUACAAUUGGCCAGGUACAAACCGCUGCAAAACUCGCAAGAGGGAGCCAAAUCGGAAAAAGCCUGUCUCAGUUCGGAUUGGAGUCUGCAACUCGAACUCCAUGAAGUUUGGAAUCGCUAGUACUCGCAGAUCAGCAUGCUGCGGUGAAUACGUUCCCGGGUCUUGUACACACCGCCGCGUCACAUCACGAAAGCUGGGUUUGUCUAGCAAGCGCCAGAGCUAACUCGCAGGGAGGCAUGGUUGAUAACGGUAUGAUCCAUGAUUGGGGUG
rnacentral:rRNA from 1 species